AAUUCUCAACCUUUAUCACUUUUGCUGAUAAUGGCUUGGAUAUGGGGGUCUAUUUUGCUGGCUUCUUUACGGAUGGUCAGCUCCCCUUAAAUGCAUUAGCUGGUGCCCCGCGUGGACUGUCUAUUGGUGUGAUAAUUAUCUACGCCGUGGACAUCUGCAAUCAUAUGGGUUUGCACUGCUUCCAACCGUCUGUUCAAUCAGACAAUACAUGACA
rnacentral:misc_RNA from 1 species